AACCACUUUAAAUGAACAUCUCAUGAGUCAACACGGAACAUGUCCUCCCACCAUGUUUAUGUAUGGCCAGCUCCAUCCUACUUUAAAAUGAGUAGUAGAUAUGUUAUUAUACUCAGAAAACUUUGUAUGUAAAACUGUAUGGGGCAAGGGAGGCAAGUUGUAAGGUUGAUGUUAAUUGUGCCACUCACUCUUCGGCUAAAGCAUACUUUGACUUCACAAUGUGAGUUUAGAGUUGUGGCAUCAGUUCUAUCAAAUCCCUUUCCCUUUGAAGUGAAACACAUCCCAACAUUGCUAUGUUUUCAAGGUUAGCUGAAAAGCUUUCUUUCCACCCAAACCUUUCCAAAUUGUUUUAUUUUUGCACCUUUUAAUUAUUGUUGCAUCUUGUGGGUAUUUUAUGAUCUGUAUUAUCGUUUAUAUUUACGUACUCCACUUUCUAUGCUGGUUUAUUGUUUGUUUAUUUAUUAUUAUUUAUGAAUUUAUGAAUCAUCCUCCACAUAUGUCUCAAGGCAAUUUACAGUCAUUUAAAAGAAAGCACACACAAUUCCAAACUACAGCAAUAAAAUAAUACAGAACUAGCACUGAACUUCUACUGUGUUUUGGCAUGUUUAUACUUUAUUGGCAGGUAGAGUUUGCUUUUAUAUUGGAUGUAUUAUUUUCAUUGGAUAUUAUUACUGAAUGAAUGCAUGAAAUAAACAAAUAAGGUCUGGAUCUAAACGCCCUCACUCCCCCACAAAAAAAUGUUUACAUUCUCUCCAUUGGUGGCAAAAUCUAGGAAAGCAUUUCACUUUGGGAGUAAAAUUAUCUGGCAGUUUCUUGGGGCAGAGUGAUCACCGUUAGCAGCCCCCUCCCCUGCAAUACUGUUGUUACAAUUAGCAAUGGUGGUAACAACAUAUCUGUGUUGGUGGCAGCCAGGUGACCAUUUAGGGUCUUCCCACAGUGCCCUGGUUUUAGUGUAGUUCUGGAACACUGUUGUGGGGAUGGCAGCAACAUCAACCAAUUGUGAAGAGUAUUUGAUGAAUAUUCAGUUGAAUGCCCAUCUUUUUUGGCGUGGUGAGAGGGAGUAAAUUAUUGAAGUCAUUCACAGAAAAAAUAGAAGACAAAUUUAUCAGAAAGUCUGAGAAAUUUCAGCCCAACUCCAGCAGUCAAGGAUUUAUGUGCGAGAUAACUAAGAAGAAAUGUGCAGACUCAUUGUCCCGAUCCCAAAACAGUGAUUCCAUUGUACACAAGAAUGGGCAUCUGAAUUCAACCCUGCAUGUAUUUCUGCUUGAGUUUCUUUCUUCUUUUUCAGGCUGUUGAGUAUUGCUCUACCACCACAGGUGCAAAUGCUCAUUAAAUUGAAGUGCUAUAUCCUACAGGAAGGUAUUGCAAGCCCAGGCUUCUGCCUCAGCAAAGCUAUAUAGGAGUGAUGGAAGAGUGAUUUUGAUUGUCAAGGUUAAGUGUUUGACUGUGAAUCUAUCUAUCAUCUAUCUAUUAUCUAUCUAUCUGUCUGUCUGUCUAUCUAAUGCAUUGAAAAGCAUUUAAAGAAAAUUUCUCAUUUUUGUGUUUACAUGACAGCCUAAAACAGCUCCGAAAAGGACCUUUGGAUCCAUUACAAAUGAACAGGUAAAUAUGUAUAAAAGCCACAGGGGAUUUCUUUCUUUUGCUUAAAACCCUUUUGUUGUUAAUGUACCACAUUGUCUCUGUGUAAGUAUAAUGGAGUUGCUAACCCUUUUUCAAUAUUUUGAAUUUGAAAUUGCGAAUGUGGGAAACUUGAUUUUAAAACAAGCCAAAACGUUUGUUUUAAAUCCAAAAGGUACUGAUAUCUUCAAGAUAUCAGUAUGUGAAUGUGUAACAUCCUGUUUCAAUGCUAGUUAAGCACUGAACAGUAUUGUUCUGGGUUCAGUUGCACAUCCAGCAGCUCAUUAUCAAAUGCAUGUAUCUCACUAGGUAUUACUGAACUAUUGCAUGGCUUGCAGCUUGUCUCCACUGGAAAGUGAUGUGUGUCAGGGUUAAUGUGAAUAUUAUUGAUAAUAAGGAAGCUGUGACUAUAGAUGUGUCAUCUGUGAUGGUCCAUCACUUUAUGUAGCAGUAAUUAGGGAGUGAGAAAACUGUUUCCAGUUUCAGCCUUGCUGGCACUCAAUCAUAGGUCUUUUCAAUCCCAUUUUAUGCAGAUAUUGUAAAAGAAUGCAUGAAAGACCCAUGUUUAAGUUGUAUGCAUUUUAUGAACACUUUUUAAUCCAAAAUCCACUGUUUUAUACAUACUCUCCAAUGCAUUUCCUUAUAAAAUGCACAUUUUUUGUGUGCAGUAUUGGCGUGCAAAAAAACUCCACCCACAAAUGCUCAUUUAAUAUUGAAAAGACUUGAAACACAUGUAAAAAGGAGAGUUUAUUUGGCAGUGCAUCACGAACUCUAUGUAAGUGUGUAAUUAAGGAUUUGGGGGAAAUUCAGUUCAGCCUGCAUUCAAGGGCAAGCAAUAAUUUUCCAAAACAAUAUGUGAACUGAAACACAGCCUUCUUUCAAAAUUUGCACGUAUCCACACUUUGCGCUGCAGCUCUUUUGCUCGGUAAUGUGUUCAGAAAUGCAUAUGAAGGGCUAAACUGUUCAUACCAAUGCAUAUAUAAUGAAAACCAGAUAAAAAUGCAUUAAAUCAGAGGAAAUUGCUUGGCAAAAAAAUGUGUAUAGUAGGCAAAAAUGCAUGCAAAAAAUGUAUCCCUGAGGUUUUUUUCUUCUUACUUUAAAUCACAAACUGAUAUAGAUGCAUAGUCACUCAUUCAUAUGUGCAAUGUGACUGGGAGUUGCAUUUCAAUCCACAGAUAUGUCUGGGAGCAUCUUAUUGGUCUUCUCCAAAAAGUGGACCAAACCUAUUUCUCCACCCUCUCUAACAUGCAUGCUGUGGUAUGACUGAAGCAGAAUUGCCUUGGAUACAGCAGAGAGUUUUCUCUAGGGCCACACUUAAACUCCAUUCCUUAGGUGUUCCAGUUGGCCUUCACUCUGUCUGCAUUCUGAUGGCGCAUCAUUCUGUCUUUCCAGUAUUUUCUUACUUGUUGCUUGGUGUGUUUCAUGUGAUCUCUCACAUGGUGCAAAAACUCCUUCUGGAAAUCCAGUGGAAUCUAACUGCAGUUUAACUCUCAAUUCCUGUUAAAUGUUUUCAGGAAAAAAACACAGAUGUUUUAACCCCAUUAACUUGGAAAUUUUCAUGAUGUUUCAGCUUGCUAUAUGUCAGGAAAAUUCCUGACAUGUCCUGGUUUUCUGGUGUAAAAGUGGUGAUGGGGGGAAUUGGCAAAAUGUCAGGGAAAACCCAGAUGUAUGGCAACAUGAUGGGAAAACUUUAAAAACACUAUUUGGGGGGGGAGUAAUUUGGGUCCCCCCCCCCUGCAAAAGGUCAACAGAUAUGCAGGUGUCAGGAAUUUUACUUUUUGAAAUGGUUUCCCUAACCACCCAUGUAUCAAAAUUUUGGUUGGUAACCUGGCACCCAGUCCUUUUCCCACCCCCAACACACACACACAAUUUAGUGCGCAGUUCAUCAAUUGAAAAGCCAUGGUUCCAUAACACAAUAGGCACUGCAGAGCAAAAAGAAAUCAAGACAGAAGCACUUGCAUUAUAACUGGUAAAACUAAUGUAAUAAACGUCACAUUCAAAUGCAGCCUCUGUCUUCUACCACUCUGUUUUAAAAUGUCCAGUUUAUUUAUUUAUAUGCUGCUUGUCAACAGCAAACUCUGUCCAAAGCAUCUCACAAUAAACAUUUAACCUAUUAUCAAAAUACAUAUCAUAUCUUUUUUUUUGGGGGGGGGGGACAUAAUUACUUACAAAACAUAUAAACAAUUUGGUGAACAUAGUACAGUGAAUGCUCGGGUUGUGAGCAUGAUCCGUACGGGAUGCAAGUUCGCAACCCGCAGCAUUCACAACCCAUGUCUGUGCACACACGGGUUGCAAUUCAGCGCUUCUACACAUGCACAAAGGGUGAUUCUGUGCUUCUGUGCAUGCGCGGCUGCCAAAAUCCGGAAGUAACCUGUUCCGGUACUUCUGGGUUUUGGCGGUCCAUAACCCGAAUAAACGCAACCUGAAGCAUCUGUAACCCGAGGUAUGACUGUAUAAAUUAUGGGUGUCCCAGCCUUCCUAUAGUUGAGGAUUGAACCUCAGACCUUCUGCACGCUGUGCCUCUGACCUGUCAUUGUUUCCCAGCGGAACAUUUAAACUUGUUGCGUGUUGAGGACCCCACAGCCACCCUCAAAUAAAGACACAGUUCACACAGAAUUUUUGUUUAAGGUUUUUGGCAUACAUUUUGGCCACAGCUUUAUUGAUUACAGCAUGUGAGUGGUUGCUUAGGCAUUGGUUCAUGACUAUCUGUUCCCACUUAGAGGUAGUAACAGAACUGACACCCGCAAACCUGCAAAAGUCAGUAAGGGAAAACAUUUGGGGGGAGAGCAUAGAGCUGGGCGCCAGGCUCUCACCUCUUCCCAAAUGCUCCCAGGGGCUCUUGCCUGGCCCAUGCCCCUUGACAGGGGUUUGGACAAGAGCAUGGCAAGACCCUGGAUUCCUUUAACAGAAUACCCUUGCAGCAGCAUUGGGGAGGUCGGAACAGCCAACCAUACCCCUCCACCAACCAAAUUAACCAAGCCUAACCACAACCUUACAAGUUGUGACGAUUUCCUACGCAGUAGGCAAAAACCAAAUGGCACCAGCCAAUCAGCCAGAUGGACAAAAUUCCUACCAGGCCCCUGCCCCAAAAGCAGACGACCCCAUGACAGGCAUAGCAAGGUCAAGCAAACAACCCUAAAUAUAGGGAGGGUGGGCGGGUGAUCCAAUGCACGCAGCAAAAAGAGGAAGCUCAACACUGCGCGCAGGGAAUAAAUAGCCCCUCAACAGUCACUCAUAAAAUUGCUACACCAAAUUCUCCCCAAUUUCUGAGGGGUACCCAAUCAGAUUCAUGGCCAUCUAUACUAACCCGCCCAGCAACAGAGGAAUGUCUUGUUUGCCCCCACUGCAACACAUGCUCUCCAUGAUGGAGAACACACUUUCUCACAUCAUUUGAAUUGUGUGAUUAUUCACCGGUAUCAGGUAAGCCAUCAUGAACAAAACCUGUUGUAUCUUUUCAUGCCUUCUGCUUAAUAUCUCAUUUCCCCCUUCUUGUUUGUUUGCUAAAUUAUGAAGAAAAGUUAUUAGUGUGGAUAUUUGCUUUUUAGUGUUCCUCUGCCCUGCCCACGGAUGCUUACUUCCUUGAUGCAUAUUUCUAUAGACAUUGAACUGAAACUAUCCUUUCUCUGAAAUCAGAUGUUAUGCAUUGUAAUUGGGGGAGGGGAGGAUGUCUCUCCCCCCCCCCCCCAAUCAUAUGUGGUUGCUGAAGAAAAGCUAAACCGAGUAUGUAUUUGCAUGAAUUAAAAAUCUGUGUGUUGUUGUUUCAGGAGCUAAUGACAGAAUAAUCAAUGCACAUCUGUCAACUUGUGUGCAAAUAAAGAAGUGAAGGGAUGCUCUUCUCACCAUUUCUGUUGCUUUUUUCUGCCAAUCGUUGC